rnacentral:rRNA from 1 species
UACGGGGGGGGGCAAGCGUUGUUCGGAAUUACUGGGCGUAAAGCGUGCGCAGGCGGUUUUGUAAGCCAGAUGUGAAAUCCCCGGGCUUAACCUGGGAAUGGCAUUUGGGACUGCAAGGCUCGAGUGCGGCAGAGGAGACUGGAAUUCCGGGUGUAGCGGUGGAAUGCGUAGAGAUCCGGAAGAACACCAGUGGCGAAGGCGGCCUGCUGGGCAGUUGCUGACGCUGAGGCGCGGACAGCGUGGGGAGCAAACAGG